UGCACAAGCGCUAGGAAAGUAGCUUGCAGCGCCGCCGAAGGUACGAGGCGGAAACGGGCAAUAUCCUUGCGCAGCGGCAUAGUGCCUAGAAUAGCAGCGGAAUAUAGUUCUGGGCGUACGUAACUGUCUGAUUAAUGGAAGGAUUGGAUUCUUGUUCUUGCCUAUAAUAGUAUAUGAUACUAGAGUGACCUAGAAAUACUGGGAGAGUGUUCAAAGCGCCCGCUUCCGCGUAAGGUUCUUACGGGGAACUGCCGCGUCGCGCCGCUGCUGUGCGGGACCCGUUAAAUCAGAACCCGUCAGGACUAAAGCCCCUCAAUCAUAGAAAAAGAAAUCCAACAAGAGGCGACACCGGUGAAAAUUGGCAACAGGAAACACGUCACGCCUAAAGUUAAUCCCAUCCGGUCGUUGACGCGAGCAUAGAAAAAAAAAAAAGAAUGUGAAAUGAACUCACAGGCGUUUUAUUUUUGUUAAUCGUUCCCGUUAAAACUCAAAUUUUUUGCGUAUAAAUGAACUUAUACGUUGCGACUUACUUUUCUUGCGUCACCUAGCAACAAGCUAACGGCACGCCAGGCGCGACAGAUAUGCAUGCGUCAUGCGCCAGACAGGCCACCUAUGAUUGCGCAUGCGAAGUUCGCCUGUUCGGCGACUCGUCUCGUUUGGAUGUAGCGUGUUUGUUGGGCCCCCGGUGUUUUCUUGGACUACGGCAAGGUAAUCGACUUGGGGACACCGGUUGACAUCAAGAUCGACAAAGAGACCUCAAAAUCUGUGGGCCGCCUUGUACACAAUUGACCGGUCAUAUAUGUACACAGAUGCUAUAUUCACUAUCCUUGACAUUUCCCUUGAUCAUGGCACAACUGGUGACGGAGAGGCCUCAAGUGACAAAAAAACGCACUUCAAACAAGU